GUAAAUAAUUAGUACAAAUUACUUCCUCCGUCUCAGUUUAUGUAGAGCACAGUUCGAAUAUCGAGAGUCAAACCGAGUAGCACAGUUUGAGUUCAAAUAUUGAGAUUAUAUCGAGAGUCAAAUCUAGUAGUACAGUUUGAACAUCGAGAGUCAAACCUAGUGGCACAAUUCGAAUGUCGAGUGUCAAAUCUAGUAGCACAAUUCGAAUAUCAAGAGUCAAACCUAGUAACACAGUUUAAAAAUCGAGAGUCAAACCUAGUACCAUAUCUUGAAUAUCGAGAGUCAAAUCUUAUCAAGAGUCGUAAUACACUUCGAAUAUCGAGAGUCAAAUCUAGUAGCACAGUUCGAAUAUCGAUAGUCAAAUCUAGUAGUACAGUUCGAAUAUCGAGAGUCAAACCUAGAACUAUCGAGAGUCAAAUCUAGCAGCACAGUUUGAAUAUCUAGAGUCAAACCUAGUAGCACAGUUCGAAUGUCGAGAGUCAAAUCUAGUAGCACAAUUCGAAUAUCGAGAGUCAAACCUAGUAAUACACUUCGAAUAUCGAGAGUCAAACCUAGUAGCACAGUUCGAAUAUCGAGAGUCAAACCUAGUAGCACAGUUUAAAUAUCAAGAGUCAAACCUAGUAGCACAGUUCGAAUGUCGAGAGUCAAAUCUAAUAGCACAAUUCGAAUAUUGAGAGUCAAAACCUAGUAGCACAGUUCAAAUAUCGAGAGUCAAACCUAGAACUAUCGAGAGUCAAAUCUAGCAGCACAGUUUGAAUAUCUAGAGUCAAACCUAGUAGCACAGUUCGAAUGUCGAGAGUCAAAUCUAGUAGCACAAUUCGAAUAUCGAGAGUCAAACCUAGUAAUACACUUCGAAUAUCGAGAGUCAAACCUAGUAGCACAGUUCGAAUAUCGAGAGUCAAACCUAGUAGCACAGUUUAAAUAUCAAGAGUCAAACCUAGUAGCACAGUUCGAAUGUCGAGAGUCAAAUCUAAUAGCACAAUUCGAAUAUUGAGAGUCAAAACCUAGUAGCACAGUUCAAAUGUCGAGAGUCAAAUCUAGUAGCACAGUUCGAAUGUCGAGAGUCAAAUCUAAUAGCACAGUUCGAAUAUCGAGAGUCAAAACCUUUUAGUUUUAACUGAAAAAUUUGGAUCUAGAGUUUUUGAGUUUUUCUAAAGAUUAUAAAAACAUAAAAAUGUUCGCUUUUACUUGUCAUAUUUUAAUUUGACACACCUAUUCAAAAAAAAUAAUUAAUAACAUGACUAUUUUAUCAUUAUAUCUCUAUUAAAUAACGUUUACAUUGUGUUUUAAAAUUAAUUUAAAGCAAAACAAUUAAAGCUGCGAUUAAAAUAGAAAAAAGAAUUAUUUUUUCUUGAUAUGUCAAAAAUGACAAGUAAAAGUAGAAAUCUAAUUAAAAAUUAUCGACAAGUAAAAAUGAACGAAGGGAAUAUAAGUCAUAAUAAAUGACAUUUCAAAAUAUCUAGAGGAGAUAAAAGAAUUACGACCAAAGAUUGAAUCUCAAAAUCCAAACAAUGUCACGUAAAUUAGAGGGGAGAGAGUGUUUUGUUUUUAAAAUAUGAGAUUUGACAUUUUCGUAGGAAGUAUUCGAUUCAACUAUUUAUUUAUACAGUGUGUGAAGUCUAAGUGAUGAGACAUGCCUAUGAAUUAGUUCCAAGAAAGCGGCUAUUCACGUCAGGAAUAGAGUUCGUUAAAAAUGUACUUGCUUUUUUUUUGUCAUCAAGAUUAGGUCGGUGUGAAGUGUAUCGUUUAUCUAGCCUAUGCUUAAAAAGCCGACAUAGACGAAAAUAUAAUGGUAUAAAAAAUGAAAAAUAUUCAAAUUUACUCUUGAAAUAUUCGAUUUGUCUUAUAUUUAUCGGGAUAAUACUCACAAAAAUAUCUUAACUUUGACCGAAUUUUCAAUUGCGCAUACUGAACUGUGCGGGGAUUUAUUACCCCUAAAAAAAAAUUUUUUUGUAUUUUAAUGGCAUAUAUCUGCCCACUUGGACACAUGUAAAUAUGAGGUUGGCGCGUGUAUUGCACGCACCAAUACACGUGUAAAAAUGAUAUUUGGCGCGUGUAUUACACCGCUAGCCGUCAAAACUGGGUAUAGAGUUUCGAGGGGAAAUUAAAUCCACUUUAAAAAGUCUAGAGGGUAAUAAGACCCCUGCAAAGUUUAAUAUGUUUGAACUGAAAAUUCAAUCAAAGUUCAGAUAUUUUUGUGAGUAUUAUCCAUAUAUUUAUCCUUUGUUAUUUUGAUGAUGGGCUUAGUAUGACUAUGACAUUUGCAAUAUAUAUAGGGCAAAAUUCAGAAAUAACAUACAUAUCCCAUUAAUUAUGAGUUUUAUAGCAACAAUUUCAUAAUUACAUAAUAUAGCAAGUUGUAUUUUUGUAAAUUGUUGCUACAAAAAUACAAAUACAUAUGAUUUUUACUGUCCUUAUGAUCUAUAUGUAUUUUGUAUUUUUACAAACUGUUGCUGCAAAUACAUACAAAUACAAAAUAUAAUUUGAUAAAAGUGUUGUUAUUUUUUGUAAUUUAAUAAUAAUACUCAAUUAUCUCCUGAGCUAUAUCCAAAAAAGUUAUAACACACCUCAACUUAAAGGAGAUUCUAUUACCUCUGAACUAAUUAAAAAUGUAGUUUUAACACCCUUAGUACCUAUGUGGCACAAUACAUAGGCACUAAGGGUGUUAAAAUUACACUUUUAAUUAGUUCAGGAAUAAUAGGACCCUUUAAGUUGAGGUGUGUCAUGGUCUUUUUGGUAUAGUUUAGUGGGCUGAUUGGAUAUUUUUGCACUUAAAGUAUGCUGUAGUUUUUCCAUAAAGCGGUGGA
rnacentral:lncRNA from 1 species